AUUGAACGCUGGCGGAAUGCUUUACACAUGCAAGUCGAACGGCAGCACGGGGCAACCUGGUGGCGAGUGGCGAACGGGUGGGUAAUAUAUCGGAACGUGCCCAAUCGUGGGGGAUAACGUAGCGAAAGUUACGCUAAUACCGCAUACGAUCUACGGAUGAAAGCGGGGGAUCGCAAGACCUCGCGCGAAUGGAGCGGCCGAUAUCAGAUUAGGUAGUUGGUGGGGUAAAGGCUCACCAAGCCAACGAUCUGUAGCUGGUCUGAGAGGACGACCAGCCACACUGGAACUGAGACACGGUCCAGACUCCUACGGGAGGCAGCAGUGGGGAAUUUUGGACAAUGGGCGCAAGCCUGAUCCAGCCAUGCCGCGUGCGGGAAGAAGGCCUCGG
rnacentral:rRNA from 1 species